AGUUACUGAGUAGUUAUAACUCGGCUUCGAUCCAAACUCUAGAGAUGGAACAUUUGAAGCAAAGCUUCGAGGAGUUUACAGAGUAAAAAGGUUCAAUGCUUGUAAAUGCAGUAAACCACGUGACCGAUGACAAACGAUGCCUCUUCUUCUUCUUCUUAUAAUGGCGGUUGGCAAACAACUGAAGGAGGCAUUACCGCCACCAACUGUACCUGUGAGGUGUGGGCGGUUUCCUCUCUACCUGGACUCGGACAUCCAGCACCUCUUACUACAGUUUGUGAACUUUGGAUUAUUCACCACUAGACUCCCAAGCUCCUCCAUCUGUGUGGACUCAGACCUGCUGUGGACUGUUCUUGUUGGACAAGCAUUCUGGAUUGCCUGACUCCCAAGCCCUGUGGAAUGAUUCCCCCGGUGUAUUUCUGCCCUGUGAUCAAAAGUACCCGUGAAGUCUGGAGAACCUGCCGACCAUUACAUACUACUUUUCCGGUGGAACUGUAAGCAUUGUUUGUAAAUAAACCUUUGAACCUUUUCUGGUCUCCUGUGUGAGUUUGAAUGUGGGUCAAACAAAUUCCUAAAAUGAUGACACAAAGGUAAGAAAGAUCACGAAGAAUGCAAAAAGAGAAUAUUGGAGAAACCUUUGUAAUACCGUA